rnacentral:rRNA from 1 species
GAUGAACGCUGGCGGCGUGCCUAAUACAUGCAAGUCGAGCGAACAGACGAGGAGCUUGCUCCUCUGACGUUAGCGGCGGACGGGUGAGUAACACGUGGAUAACCUACCUAUAAGACUGGGAUAACUUCGGGAAACCGGAGCUAAUACCGGAUAAUAUAUUGAACCGCAUGGUUCAAUAGUGAAAGACGGUUUUGCUGUCACUUAUAGAUGGAUCCGCGCCGCAUUAGCUAGUUGGUAAGGUAACGGCUUACCAAGGCAACGAUGCGUAGCCGACUUGGGAGGGUGAUCGGCCACACUGGAGCUGAGACACGGUCCAGACACCUACGGGAGGCAGCAGUAGGGAAUCUUCCGCAAUGGGCGAAAGCCUGACGGAGCAACGCCGCGUGAGUGAUGAAGGUCUUCGGAUCGUAAAACUCUGUUAUUAGGGAAGAACAAAUGUGUAAGUAACUAUGCACGUCUUGACGGUACCUAAUCAGAAAGCCACGGCUAACUACGUG